rnacentral:rRNA from 1 species
GCAGUCGAGGGGCGAGCGGGAGUAGCAAUACUUGCCGGCGACCGGCGCGACGGGUGCGUAACACGUAUACAAUACUACCGUUACUACGGGGGAGUAGCCCUCCGAAGGAGGAUUAAUACCCAUAAUAAAUUGAAUGGCAUCAUUUGAUUUUGUAAAGAUUUAUCGGUAAAGGAUGAGUAUGCGUCUGAUUAGCUAGUUGGAGAGGUAACGGCGUCCCCAAGGCGACGAUCAGUAGGGGAGUCUGAGAGGACUACCCCCCACCACUGGUACUGAGACACGGACCAGACUCCUACGGGAGGCAGCAGUAAGGAAUAUUGGUCAAUGGAGGCAACUCUGAACCAGCCAUGCCGCGUGCAGGAAGACGGCCCUAUGGGUUGUAAACUGCUUUUGUACGGGAGAAAACCCUUUCACGUGUGGGAGGUUGAUAGUACCGUAAGAAUAAGCAUCGGCUAACUUCGUG